UGUUUGGAACCUGGGAUUCAAAUGGCCUGGCAGGAAGUGCUCUAGCAGAGGGACUCUGGCCUUGCAAGAGUCCCUAUUUCCCCCUUUUUUUUUGCUUUUCACACAGUAAAACCCUGCUUUACUUCCCUUUGAGUCGUCUGUGAGCCUAAAUUUUUGUGGCUGUGGGAAGGACAAGAACCCCAUCUUUAGCUGAAAUAAGGAAAAGUUCCGCAACAUUUUUGGCACACACCCUGGGGGCUCCGGAAGUGAAAGUUCCCAGGAGAUGAAGACAUUGAAACUGCCAUCAUAAAAUUAAUAAAAGGUUCAAGAUUAGAAUUAUGGUAUUGGCCUGGAUUUUGUUAAGACAGAGACAUAGGUAAAUCAUUAGAUGUUUCUUAUACUUAUUUUCCUUUCUUUGACCUUUUCUUCCUCCAUGUCUAAUUCCUUAUAUAUAGUCAUUUUAAUAAAUUAUAGUUACUAGUAAUUAAUUAUCUUCCUAUUCCUGCCCCAUCAGGCAUGCUGCCCACAAGAUUAAUGAACUUGUUUUUCUCUUAAAGAACAAUUAUCUUUAGGUCAUGUAGGUCUCCUUGAUGGCUUCCAGAAGUUGAACUGGUGAAGGGGCCAAGAAGCUUUGACCACUGGGGAUCUCACUUCCUGCAAACCUUUCUGCUAAGCUCUAGGCAUAGUUAAACAAUAACCUGCCAUUGUUCCCUAGCUUGCUUUUCUAUAGUAACAGCAUUCACAAGCACUAUUAUGAAACCUAAGACUGGUCUCUGAGAUAUUUUUUCAUACUUUGCAUCCAAAUGGACCAGCUGACACCAACCAGACAAGUGACCUAUGACCUCAACCUAAGAACUGACUCAGUGCGUGAAGUUAGUUUUGAUACUCUAUGAUUUCAUCUCCAACUACUCAGUAGCACACAUUCCCUAGCACUCCCUGCCUGCCAAACCAUCCUUAAAAAUCCUAGCUUUUGAAUUCUUGGGGAGGUGGAUUUGAGAAGCAUCUCCUUGAGUGUCUGUCUCACUCAGUUGCCUUAUAAUAAUUAAAUUCUUUCUCUGCCGCAACACUUGCUGGCUUAGUGUUUUGGCUUCUUCUGUGCAGUUAGCAGGAAUCCAAUUAGGUGAUAACAACAUCAAAUAUGGUAUCCAAUCUGGAGAUUUUAUUUAUUGGAAAAAUCCAUAAAAUAAAUGAACCAUAUCCAGCAGCCCCACUUGAGUGAACAUCUUCAUUACCGAAGGUUUUCAAUACCUUGCUCUUCAUAUCAGGAUAGGAAAUAAAUGAAAUAUUUAUUUGGUUCCCUUCAGUAAUAGGAACCCUUUUUGGAUCUGCAUUUCAGUUGUUUUGUUAAUAAUUGUCCUAUUUGCAUCAUACUUUUGAUUCUGAAAUUGAUCAUGCUUUGUAUUUCUAGAUGUUUAAAGUCAACAACAAAAAAACUAAUCAUGAUAGCAAGAUCCUUAGAACUGAUCCAACAUGCUGCAGCUCCUUUGUAAGCAGAUGGCCUGGUUAAGAACAUUGCUGUGCCAGGCGUGGUGGCUCACGCCUGUAGUCUCAGCACUUUGGGAGGCCGAGGUGGGUGGAUCACGAGGUCAGGAGAUCGAGACCAUCCUGGCUAACACGGUGAAACCCCGUCUCUACUAAAAAAAUACAAAAAAUUAGCCGGGCGUGGUGGCUGGUGCCUGUAGUCCCAGCUACUCGGGAGGCUGAGGCAGGAGAAUGGCGUGAACCCGGGAGGGGGAGCUUGCAGUGAGCCAAGAUUGCGCCACUGCACUCUAGCCUGGGUGACAGAGCGAGACUCCGUCUAAAAAAUAAAAAAUAAAAACAAAAUAAAGAACAUUGCUGUGUUCCUUGGAGUUGCCAAUCAGUUUGACCUUGAGACCUCAUGAAGAUGAUAAGCCAUAGUGUCUCUCCUUUUUCUCUCUCUGUGGAAUGAGAUUACCUGGAAAUGAACUUUCCUAGUAAAGUUUGUCAGACUUAUAUCUAAAAUGUUAAUCUUCAGUGCUUUUAGAAGAGAAAAAUUUUAAUCAAAAGGGGGAAGUGAGAAUAAAAAAUAGCUCAGAUAAGUCUGAACUAUGUGAACUUUGCAAAAUGUGUCAGGCCCAGGGAGACAUGAGUAUGAGACUUCAGUCAUGCACCCAUUCCAUGCCUAAAUGCAAUUGCUCAAAGGCAUAUUAUUCUUUCUUUUCUUACCUGUGGUUUUCUGACUAGCUGCCUCACCCAUUAUCUUCAUGUUCCUGGGAUUUUUGAUACAAAGAACAAUGUAUAGCAAAUCAAUAGUUUAUGUUAUUGUCAUUUCUUGGUAAACAACCAAGGAAGUGCCUCUUCUUAUUUCUUUUUUCUUUCUUUCUUUUUCCUUGGCUAUGUCUUCUGCAUGCCUGUUCUUUUUUCCUUUAAAAGCCCACUUGUAACUGCUGUAAAGUCGGGACAUAUAUUUAGGGCAACUUGAGUCCAUGCUUCUGGGUUUCAGUCUUCAAACUUGGCCCAAAUAAACUCUCUCCUUAUGUUAAUUUUGUCUGUUUUUUCUUUAGGUUGACAUGUCCUAGGGCAAAAUUACUUACUUUCUGUAUGCCUCUGUUUCUUCAUUUAUAGGAUUAUGUUGGCUCGGAGAAUGAUACCUCAAAGGCUGGUGCUGAGAGUUCUUAGAAGCUGCUUCAGAAUCAAGGUUUAACCGUGUUUCUCCCCUUCCCUUACAACCCUAAGCUCAGGGAGGGACUCUUUGGAUUUCCUUAUCUGAUGAAGAAAGCUUUCUAAAAGAAAUUCUGUGGUCUUAAUCCCCCUCCCUAAGGAUCUCUCCAGAGAUCAACCACUGGAGAAAAGAUACUAGGAGUCAUCACCACAUCUAGACAGAGUGCUGCUCCAAGAGAUUAACUGAGGGAUUUCAUCUGCAUAAUAAGUCAACCUUUUUUCCGGGCGCAAUGGCUCACGCCUGUAAUCCUAGCACUUUCGGAGGCCCAGGUGAGUGGAUCACCUGAGAUCAGGAGUUUGAGACCAACCUGGCCAACUUUGUGAAACCCUGUCUCUACUAAAAAUACAAAAAUUGCCAGGC
rnacentral:lncRNA from 10 species